GACGAACGCUGGCGGCGUGCCUAACACAUGCAAGUCGAACGGAGUUGUUCCUUCGGGGACAACUUAGUGGCGAACGGGUGAGUAACGCGUGAGGAACCUGCCUUCCAGAGGGGAAUAACGUUCUGAAAAGGACGCUAAUACCGCAUAACACAUAUUUGCCGCAUGACAGAUAUGUCAAAGAUUUUAUCGCUCGGAGAUGGACUCGCGUCCGAUUAGUUAGUUGGUGAGGUAACGGCUCACCAAGACCGCGAUCGGUAGCCGGACUGAGAGGUUGAACGGCCACAUUGGGACUGAGACACGGCCCAG
rnacentral:rRNA from 1 species